ACUUGGCAUUAGCAAAGCCACAGCUACUUCUAGAUAGCUGCAGUGGUUAAAAAAAAAAAAAAAGAGGCUGGGGGUAAAGCAUUUCCUUGACAGUUAUGAUUCCUUUGGCUGCAACUGAUCUAUAUUUUGGAAAAGAUAGUG